GACGAACGCUGGCGGCGUGCUUAACACAUGCAAGUCGAACGGUGAUGCUCCAGCUUGCUGGAGUGGAUCAGUGGCGAACGGGUGAGUAACACGUGAGCAACCUGCCCCAGUCUCUGGAAUAAGCGCUGGAAACGGCGUCUAAUACUGGAUACGAAACUGGCCCGCAUGGGCAUGGUUUGGAAAGUUUUUCGGUUUGGGAUGGGCUCGCGGCCUAUCAGCUUGUUGGUGAGGUAAUGGCUCACCAAGGCGACGACGGGUAGCCGGCCUGAGAGGGCGACCGGCCACACUGGGACUGAGACACGGCCCAGACUCCUACGGGAGGCAGCAGUGGGGAAUAUUGCACAAUGGGCGAAAGCCUGAUGCAGCGACGCCGCGUGAGGGAUGACGGCCUUCGGGUUGUAAACCUCUUUCAGCAGGGAAGAAGCGAAAGUGACGGUACCUGCAGAAGAAGCACCGGCUAACUACGUG
rnacentral:rRNA from 1 species